rnacentral:lncRNA from 1 species
GAGGAGCACGCUAGUAAGCAGCAUCCUCCUGUGGCCACUGCAUCAGCUCCUGCCUCCAGGUUGCUAGGCUGUGAGACCUCAACUCAAAGUCAAUCCUAUGAUGAGUCAGACUGACAAGUUCUGCUAGAGGGAGAGAAAGAUGGCUCGAGAGAAGACUCAGAUCCCUGGAGAUGAUCAGAGGGUUUGCUGCUGGAAUUAAUGCUUGGUGGCUAUUUGUCUGAUGUAUCCACAUUACAGGAUGAGAUGUUCACAAGAAUAAUUCCUAGUGAUCCUGCUGCUGCUCGUGAGAUCUUUGCCAACAAGAGAGGUGAACUGUGCAGCACAUCUCAUUUCCAGUCUGACAAAUUAUCUGUCAAGAUAGGACCCCAGUCAAGUGUUUAAUUGUGCAUCAGGUUUAGGUGACAGAACUUUGAUAUGACAAAGAGGGGAUGGAGGAGAUAGCUUCCUUCUCUCCCCUAAAAACUAUGAUGUUGUGAAUGAAGACAUCUGGUGUGCUUGUCCAUGUCUAUGUCUGGGGUGAUAGAAGAGUCCGGUGUCUGCUGUGGACCAGAUACUGCAUAUCAGCAUCUGGGCUUUGAUCAUCUUAGAGAAAACUUGACUCUUCCUGAUGUAUUUGCAAGUAGACUUCCCAGUCUCCUCCAUCAGCCUUUAGAUGUGGAUUGUCAGGAGAGAUGUUUGAUUGCUUUUGUUCCUCUUUAAAAGAAUUUCAUUGUGGAUUGGCAUAUAAUAUUUGUAUACACUUAUGUGGUAAAAUGUGAUGGUUCUAAUUGGUACUUAAUACUGGGAAGUAUCAACACAACAUAGUUAUCCCAUUUUUCACCUUAGACUGUUAUCAUUUCCUUAUUGUCAGAACCUCAAAAAGCCCAUCUUUAGCCAUUUGUAGAUACACAAUGCAUUGUGGCUAAUUAUAUCCUCCCUACUGUGGUAGGGCUCACCAGAAUCUACCCUACCUAACUAACAGUAACAUGAGCCAGCUCUGUCUCCCAAGUUCCUCUCUGCCCCAUCUCUGGUAGCCACUACACUGCUCUCAACUUCUUUGAAGUCUUACAUGUGAAUGGACUUGGGUAGUGUUUGCCUGUAUGAACAUGAAUUACUUCAAUCCACAUAAUGGCCUCUGAGUUUUUGCAUUAUAUUGCAAAUCACAAAAUGUCAUUCUAUUUAUAGCUGAAUAAUAUUCCAUAGCAUAUUCACCCAUUAUACUGGUUUCUACCUAUUUAUGCAUGGUGAACAUAUAGAAUAAUUCCAUUUCCUGCAUAUUUUUGUAUAGUAAAUAAGAGUAGAAGUACAGACGUCUUUUGAUAUGGUGAGUUCAUUUUCUUUUAUACAUUCCCAGUGGUAGAAUUGUUGGUUCAUAUGAUAGCUUUGAUUUUAUGGGUUUGUUUGUUUAUUGGUUUGUUUAAGGAGUUUUGCUUUGAAAUAGUUGUAGAGUACUCUUCUCCAGGAGCCAAAGAACACUUAACCACAGCACCAAUACCAGACAUGAGGAGCCAUGUAUUUGAAGAAAGGAUAGGAAGGCUAUAUGGGAGGUUUUGGAGGGUGGAAAGAGAAGGGAGAGAUGUUGUAAUUAUAUUAUAAUCUAAAAAAUAAAAAAAUAAAGUUAAU